CUGAACUUCAGGAAUUUUAACCGUAGAAGUUGAACAAGAUCCAUCUUUCAUCGAGUUAAGUGUAACUUCAGUAUUCAUCAAAAAUAGUGGGGACAGAUUACUGCAAUGGCAAUGAGUCAUGUGCAUUAUAAAUGCCAAGCAUCAUAAGAAAAGUGGGAAAUUUCAAUUCACAUAGAAGGGAUUGCUCAUCCAUCAAUGCGAUCAAAUCAAUAUUUAAAGGAAUCUAAGAAAAGUCCCAGUGUAAGGCCAGCCUUCCAAUAAUUAAACAAGGAAAUAAGGCCUCUAUUCAUG
rnacentral:lncRNA from 1 species